rnacentral:rRNA from 1 species
GUCCACGCCCUAAACGAUGUGCACUAGAUUGUGGUGGCUCUGACGCCAGCACGGUCGAAGCAAAAGUGGUAAGUGCACCGCCUGGGGAGUACGGUCGCAAGACUAAAACUCAAAGGAAUUGACGGGGGCUCACACAAGCGGUGGAGCAUGUGGCUUAAUUCGAAGCAACGCGAAGAACCUUAUCCUGGGUUUGACAUGCACGGAUUAACUCCGGGAAACCGGAGCCACGCCCUUUGGGUGGAACGUGCACAGGUGCUGCAUGGCUGUCGU